AGUGAGUGUGAUUGUGAUUGUUGUCUGCGCUUCGUUCGCUCUUCUUCUUCCUGCUCUGAUUCUUUGGCUGAUUCGUAAAAAAAGAGCCGAUGUCAGAAGAGAGACUGAGGACUCUGUGGAGCAGGCUGAUGAUGUGACUUAUACUGAAGUUACUGCGUACAGUAAAAACAGAGCCAAAAAGAACAAGGUUCGCUGUGAUGAUAAAGUGACUUACGCUUCCAUCAGAGGAACAAAAGCUGGAGCUCAGGAAAACUGCAGUCAACUUUAAUCCUCUGUGAACAAGAACCACCACAAAUCACACAAAUAAUUAUACAGAAACCACAUCAGCAGAGGAAUACAAACCGGAUUCCUGAUGGUUUGAUUCAGUGCCAUUAUAAUAAUAGCAGUGUCUUUCACAUGUUAAGAAACAAGCUCUGAUUUAUUUGUAGUUAUUGGUGAUUCUGGUCAGUUUGUCAUGUGUUUUGUACAGUA